CCAUUCUUGUAGCACUGUGUCAUUGGGGGAGGAAGGUGCUCUCCCCUACUUGGGGUGUGGGGGAUGACGUCUACUUCUGCUUCCCCCCUCGGAGCCCUGGUGACCAUGUGCCUGUGGAGCAUCUCUGUGGGUCUGAGGCUGGGGUUUGCGCCUGGUUUGCUGGGCUUACAGAUCUGGGAACAGGGAGGUUUGGAAGCAUAGCUUGAGGCUUGCAGAUGAAUCAGACUCUAGCCUCCCCAUCUGCCGCCCAGGGGCUUCCUUUUCCUCUUCAGGAAGGAGCCCAGAAGGAGCAAAGAUACC
rnacentral:lncRNA from 1 species